AUAAUUUAAUCUUUCACGAUAUUCAUAAAUGUAUGUAACCGUUAGGGGAAGCUGAUUUUAGAUUCAUGGUACAAACAUACUUCAUCAAAAUCAACCUGUUGUAUAUAGAAGUCUAACUGCAGGUUUUGAUAAAGAUAUAAAGGUGAAGCUGUGAUGUAACCAUGGAUGUAUCAAAGAUGAAAGUUGAACCCUUUUCUGAAAAUGAGCAGGAUGAUUUGUUGGAUAUGAAAUUGACGAAAAAUGAAGAUGAAACUCCUACGUUAUCUAGUAUAGAAGGUGAUUCCUUACAACAAAGAUCUUUACAUACCAUUUUGAAGUUUGGUGUAGUGAAAGAGGAACAAGAAGAGAACU